rnacentral:rRNA from 1 species
CCUACGGGAGGCAGCAGUGGGGAAUAUUGCACAAUGGGCGCAAGCCUGAUGCAGCAACGCCGCGUGAGGGACGACGGCCUUCGGGUUGUAAACCUCUUUUAGUAGGGAAGAAGCGAAAGUGACGGUACCUGCAGAAAAAGCACCGGCUAACUACGUGCCAGCAGCCGCGGUAAUACGUAGGGUGCAAGCGUUAUCCGGAAUUAUUGGGCGUAAAGAGCUCGUAGGCGGUUUGUCGCGUCUGCUGUGAAAACUGGAGGCUCAACCUCCAGCCUGCAGUGGGUACGGGCAAACUAGAGUGCGGUAGGGGAGAUUGGAAUUCCUGGUGUAGCGGUGGAAUGCGCAGAUAUCAGGAGGAACACCGAUGGCGAAGGCAGAUCUCUGGGCCGUAACUGACGCUGAGGAGCGAAAGCAUGGGGAGCGAACAGGAUUAGAUACCCUGGUAGUCCAUGCCGUAAACGUUGGGCGCUAGAUGUGGGGACCAUUCCACGGUUUCCGUGUCGCNGCUACGCAUAGCGCCCGCCGUCGGGAGGUACGGCCGGCGACGGACGUAAACGUUAAAACGGUAAAGUUAGACGGCGUGAGACGUGCCGACGGACGACGACGAGGGAGGUAGG